rnacentral:rRNA from 1 species
UGGCGGUUAUAUUUUCCAAUCAGAGGGGUGUGUAUGUAAACGACUUUACACGAAAAUCUUACCUAAAAUAUUAUUUAUUUUCGGCCCCAAUUUUAUUAUGGGGUUGUAAUAUUAAUUUUGUACACCUCCGUCGGAAGGAUAUUUCGAGAGAUUUGUCCCAAAUACUUUCUUUUAAUUAAUGGGUUAUGUUUGUUGAAUUAAGUAGACAGUAUAAUAAUUUUUUAGAAAAUAAAAAGUAAAGUGAUAAGUCAGGUCAAGGUGCAGACUAUGUUUAGGAUAAAUACGCACUUUUUUAAAAGUUGAAACAAAGAUGAGUUUGAAAUAAUUCUUUGUGAUGAAUUUGAUAGUAAGGGGAUUUUAUUAUAAAUCUCUGAAAAGGUAAAAAAUAAUGCACACAUCGCCCG